GCCCACGUGAGCCACUCUUCAUGCUCAGGACCUGCUUCGUUUUCCUCUUCCAGGCUUCAGAGCUUCGGAACUCAUUGCUUGAAAUAAAUGCCGCAAGUCCUUAUCUGAGAGGCUGAGCAAUCGGCUGCGUGUUGCAGUCUGUGCUCCUCCCCAAUGUGAGAGGGGAUGGCGAAGCCCGCUGGGAUGAUGAGGGCACUGCUUGCCAAACCAAAACCUGAUCUGCCUCCUGAAUAUUUUCAAGCUGCUGUUGGUCCCCACAGCUGCCCCCAUCUCUGCUCAUCGCCCUCAUUCCUGACCUUGCUGCCUAUGCUGAAAGCAGCACCGUCACCACCUGUGUGCUUGGGCCGUACAGCCUUGCGCCCAGCAGAGCAAGCAUUUACUCUGCUGUCAUUUACUCCACCCAGCUCAGAGUGCUUCUGGAUGUCUGGCCAUCUUACCACUGACUCUGCCAUACGAGAGGAGAAAUGGGACAUCCCCACAUCUCUGCCCACUCCUUGUGUGCAAUUCCAGCCCAGUGCAAUGGUUCCAGUUAUUAAAAAACAACAACACACUGAACAACAACAGAAAAAAAACACCCAACAACCCUUCAGGAAGUGAAAGCUAAAAGAAUACGUGUCAUUUCAUGGUCCCUCCUUCUUAGGUCUGUUUAACAUCUUUGUGUCAGGUGCUACAGUUGUAAGCAGCUGCUGUUGUAUUGGUGCCUGUUUGCUUUUCUCUUUGGAGUUUGCACAAUCCCCAUCUCACAAUGGAGCGUGCCAACAGUUUCAGUGCUGGAAAACAGAAAUAAACAGAGGAACAACUGUUCUGCA